rnacentral:tRNA from 1 species
GCCAGAGUGGCUCAGUCGGUAGAGCGGCGCACUCGUAAUGCGCAGGUCUGGGGUUCGAUUCCCCACUCUGGCU